CGAGGCGCGGCAGACCAACCGGUGCAAACCGGACCCCUCUGUCCCUGGAAGAACGGCGCGCAAGAAAUGCGCAGUACGAAAGGGAGAGGAGGGAGGAUUUAGCCCAGGCCCAGGCUGAGCUAGCUGAGGCCGCUGGGUGCGACCCAAAUUCGCACAGCUGGAGGCGUCCCGAAACGCCCAGGCACCACCAGUUGUGCCAUCAGAUCCAAAACCGCCAGCACCGCCACAGCCAGACUUAAAUCUUACCAGUAAGUGUUAGAUUUAUAUUUGAAUGACUGUCUAUUUUGGCUACAUUUGAAACUAAAGACACUACUACAUUUGUAACUUGUGUGGUUAACAAGAAUUGUUUAUUUGUAGUUCCAGAGUUGGAGCCAUCGCAACACCAAGAGUUACCGUCGGAACUCGACAUAGAUGACCAAGAUCUUCUUUGUAAGUAUAAGAUUUGUACUGGAGUAAAUAUCUCUAUUUUGGUGCCAUUUGUAACACGCAACUAACUAGUAUUGUAUUGUUUGUAGUUCCCGAGCUGGAGCAGUUAACAAGCCAACUUGCUCCACUCAU